GGAAGCAGCCAUAUCACUCUGCAACUCACAACUCACAACUGGCAGCCCACUGGAGCUCAGCAGGUGUGAGCCUGGUCAGUACCUGGAUGGGAGACCUCCUGGGAAAGACUAAGGUUGCUGCUGGAA
rnacentral:rRNA from 1 species